rnacentral:lncRNA from 1 species
AUAGCACAUUGAUUUUUCUUUCUCUUUGUAAUCUGCUUGGUUCGGCAGGAUCCUUCCCUAAAUCACAAAGCCUACAGAGAUGCAUUCAAAAAGAUGAAGCCACCAAAAAUCCCUUUCAUGCCCUUAUUGCUUAAAGAUGUAACAUUUAUUCAUGAAGGAAAUAAAACUUUUUUGGAUAAUCUUGUCAAUUUUGAAAAGCUGCAUAUGAUCGCAGACACUGUCCGAACCCUGAGACACUGCAGGACUAACCAGUUUGGUGACCUGUCUCCAAAAGAGCAUCAAGAGUUAAAGUCCUAUGUUAAUCACCUGUAUGUCAUUGACAGCCAGCAGGCUCUGUUUGAGCUCUCACACAGGAUCGAGCCUCGGGUGUGAGCCCCACUGCCUCACCUCCCCUGUAUCUGCAGCACUUUGAGCUACGGGAAUGUCUAUGCCAAGCACGUUGCUUUCCUGUGAGAAAAGAAGUUGCUGAGUUUUAUCAGUAUAACCCAAGACAUUCACAGGAAAGCCAGCCAAAGCGUGUUCAGGAAGUGAUGUCAGCCACCAGAGAGGGGGAGAGGUUUCUCCAUGCUACUCUCGGGACAAGAAGGCAGAAGGAGAGUCAGAAGCAUUCUUGAGAUGGAGAAGGCUGGUUUCUUAUGAUCACAUCGUUGAUCCAGUCCAGUUUUCAAUAUGAGAUGUGCCAGCAUCAAGACAAGACAACGUCUUGACAUGCAAUGACCAAAUAUUUCAUUAAGAGCGUGCAUGAAACAGGAAGGAGUUUUUACUUUGCCUAGUUUUAGAUUACUGUCCAUAAGCUGUCAAAGAAGUCAUUCUUUUGAACACCUGAUGACAGAGACAGCAUCUCUAGAUCUCCAGGGAGGAGAGGUUUCUGUUGAUACAACCUGUGACAUCACCAAAAGCCACUUGUGUCUAGGGAGUUAGUGAGGACUGCAGCUAGCAUCCAUGCUCUGAUGGGCAGAUGAACAAUGUCAAGGUGUGCAUCACUUUGCACCACAAUCAACUAUUGACACAUGCUUGCAGGUGAAAUUAGUUUCUGUACAACUGAUUUGCAGCUAUAGGCAAGGUAGAUGAAGUUGCUUUGCCAGUAAGGAAAAAUAGUAAUCUUUAAGAAAUUGACUCAUUGUUUAAUUUCUGGGGAUUUUCUUUAUACUUGUAAGCAGGCUCUUAUCUUUUAUUGGACAUAAUAUGAUUUUGAAAAAGCACAGUGCCUGACACAUUGCAAACACUCACCAACUGCUUACUGAGGUGACAGAGUCACAAAAGUCUGCAUUCUUGUGCCUGAUGAUGCAUUUUGCGUACCUCAUACAGGCUCCUUGCCCACACUAUGGAAUGACAGCAGCCAGUGCAGGGAGGUUAAGUGACAUUUAAUGAGUGAAGCACUUAGCACUCUCUAGGUAAUAAGAUAGUGGUAAUUACUAGUGUUUUGGCAAAUGAAAAAUGCCCUGAAAUAGCCAAAUGUCUGAUUAAUGUUGGCAACUUAGAAGUCCUAUAGUCCAACUACCAGCCAAAGCAGGGAGCCUUUCUAUAAUUUGCCUUUUUUUUUUUUUUUUUCAAAAUCUGAGUCUUCUAAAAUCUUUUCUUAUUAUUCCCAUUUUUACCAAUUGAGGCUCCUGUAGCAAAUAAGACCUCUUGAUAUUUUCAAGGACUGGUUAGAGGAUUUCUUUCAACCUUCACAUGAACAAAACAGCCUAUGGGUCAAAAUAAUGAAAUCCACCCCUGCCUGCUAGAUACUUGUCACCUUGCUAAAAUGCAAGGGCCUGGUCCCUUCAUUUUCCAAAUGCAGGAGUCUUGGUGCACUUCUCACUCUUCCUGCCUGUUCAUCUCUUUCAUGCCCACACAGACCUGUUUCCUUUUUGUCUCAUCAACGCCUCAUUCAUCCUCAUUACUGAGGCGUGUCCAAUGCUUUUUGACAUCUUUAUAGCAGUGCUGUUUCCUGGGCUCAGGAACCACACUGAGCUUGAGAUACUGCUGGAAGGAACCAUGUGGAGAGAAGGUUUGGGGGAACUUUGAGAGAGACUUAGUUUGGCCCAGCAUGUAAAAUUUCAGUCCUGAACAUUUACAGGGUUUUAUAGAAGGGCAUCCUCCAGGGCUGGUCCAUUCAGAGAAAUGCUGCAUGCUGCCGUCAUGCAAUGUGGCCCACAGGACACCAGAGCCGUGAGAACCGGAGAGCAGACUUCCCUCACGGCUGGGCUGAGCAAACCCUCCAAAGCCCUCCUCACGCAGUUACUAACAAUAGCAUGGGCUUACAGCACAAGCACGUGUUCUCACCUUUUUCCUAUGCCCUGGACUAAGGUUUGGCCAGUGUAAUCAUAUAAGGCCAUCCUGACAUUGUUUCUGUGUUUCAAAAUUUGGAUUUUUAUUUACAUUAGAACUACAUUGCUCCUAGUAGAACAUUACCUUUAGGGGACUAAUUUUCCAUGGAGAACUAUUUCAGCAUAUUGCAUGCUGCUCAGACCCCAAGUCAGAUAUGCCCACCAAGCCAGAUGAAGCUACACAAAUGUGGUAUUUAAAUGCAUUUUGUACAGUGACUUCAGAGUAUCUCACAUGACAUGGGUGUAAACUGGCUGGGGAGAAAAUGAUGCUUGUUCACCAAUUCCUCCAGCCGUGGUUAGGUGGUCCUAGGGGUAGCAGAGGGAAGGGAGGAUUUUGUGCAGUCAAGAUUUGCUUUUCCAUCCUUGUCUUCUGAAUGUCUAAAAUCUCUGCAUAUUUCUGAAGUUUAACAACUGUCUCCAGAGGUUUGCCAGGCAGCAGCUCUCAGAAGUUUCCAAAGCUUUGCAGAAUCUUAGAUCUGGAAUUAAAGAAUUCAAGCCCGAAUUGUGAGAACCAGAUUUUACUCAACAGAAAGCUCUUUCUAAGGAAUCUGAGCUGUUCACUGGUGGACAGUGGUGGGGCUUGAGUGCUCCUUGUUAAUAGGAUGGGCCAUGCACCCUCUCUGGAUAUUCACCAAGGCCUCUUCAGAAUAGGGUUUGUUCUGGCUAGAAGCGUGGUCUAGAAGAUGGCUAAGCUCUUUGCCAGCUCUCAUUUGGAGUUUUAUUAUUGCAUAAAAUCUUCGCUCACUCUGCAAAUCUUACGUAAUCUGGCACCUUCGGCACCAGGUGGUGCAGGGGCACUUCUAAGUGGGCUCUUUUUGUUACAGCACAACUCUCAGACAGUCCUGUGGGUCUUUGGAUUCGUCAGCAUUCCAGCAAACUAGCCCUGCUUAGAAGUUAGCACAAGACAGCAGAAUGCAGGACCCCGUAGGCAAAAUCACAACCUUGCUAUUAAAAAAAAUUUUUUUUUACAUACACAUUUGCAGGUGUUCCUUAGAGUGUGGUGUUUUGAAUUUGCUCUUUGUCAUCUGUAUAAUUGCCAAAUGAUUACAAUGAUACACAUGACCUGCAUUCACUUUUUUCUAGUUUCCUUAAUUAUGUUUAGAAUAAAUUCAUUUCCCUAGACCGAGAACCACAAACAGGUAGUGUGGAGCAUACACCGAAUUUAGAAGCCUGUGGAUAAGGUCAGUGCUCACACUGCCUAGUCCACAGGGAGAGGAUGCUGCAUGAAUAUAUACUUGCCUCUGAGUGGAGGAGAAAUCGUGGCAUGAAAGAGAGAGUACCAGUGAUGACUUCUUAUCCCUGGAGCUGGGCUUUCACUGCUACCCAUAUCCCAGCCCUGCAAGUCUGUUCUAGCCAGCACAGACACCGCAGAUCCGGAACAGAAUGUUCCUAAAUGGCGCAGCCAAUCCAGGCUUUUCAGAAACUGGGCAAAAACAUUAAAAUGGGGACGAUCGGGUCUUCUGCAGUGGUCCAACACAGGAUUUCUUUUAAAUGUUUCAAAAACAUGUCCUUAAAAUUUCAGCCUGCUUCUUAGCGAGUGGGCCAGUUUUGCUUAAAACUGGUGGGGGGGCGGGGGGGAAGUUUUUAAAAAUUGCCAAAAAGUUAGAUGCAAAUGUAUUACUGUAUAAAGCAAAGCUGUAUAUACUAAACAUUUUUUAGCAGAGUAAUAUUUAUUUGCAUAGUCUAUUUAUUGUAUUCGUAUUACACUGUUAUUAAAUACUGGGAUGAAAUCAGUGACCUGAAGCAAGAAAUCUUGCCUUUUAAUGUAUCAUUAAUUAGGGCUGCUGUGAUAUUGUCAGCUUGCAUUAACAAUUAGAAGAUAGAGAACCCGCCAUCAGGGUGUCUACCUAACUUCUCAGGGACUACACUUGGUAGUUUUCCACCAUUUAAAGAACUGGUAAAUAUGAAACAUUUGUUGAGUUACCAGAAUUGCCAUUAACAGUGUUUUCUUUCCCAUAUUCCAUGCUUUCUGCCUCUGUGUAUAUAUAUAAUAUAUAUAUAUAUGACUGUGCUGUGUAUUUAUCGAAGCUAGUAAGCAAUAAUUUAUAUGUAAAAAUGGCCAAGCAAUAUAAGGUUAAAACUUAUAUAAGUAACCCUUACCUUAUCUUGUAUUUUCAAUUGUUUUUUUAAAACUGCUUUUCCAAAUAUGAGACUAUGUUAAAGACACUAUUCAUGCCUCUUAGUUUCUUGCUUUCUCUGUGAUGUGUGUGGAUUAAAUAGCUCUGUUCUGG